GACGAACGCUGGCGGCGUGCUUAACACAUGCAAGUCGAACGGAAAGGCCCUGCUUUUGUGGGGUGCUCGAGUGGCGAACGGGUGAGUAACACGUGAGUAACCUGCCCUUGACUUUGGGAUAACUUCAGGAAACUGGGGCUAAUACCGGAUAGGAGCUCCUGCUGCAUGGUGGGGGUUGGAAAGUUUCGGCGGUUGGGGAUGGACUCGCGGCUUAUCAGCUUGUUGGUGGGGUAGUGGCUUACCAAGGCUUUGACGGGUAGCCGGCCUGAGAGGGUGACCGGCCACGUGGGGAUUGAGAGCCGCCCCGCCCUCCGCCGGGGGGCACGGGGGGGAAAUAUUGCACACGGGGGGGAGGCCGGAGGCAGCACCCCCGCGGGGGGGAGGGCGGCCUUCGGUUUGUAACCCGCUUUCGCCGGUGACGAAGGGUGGGGGAGGGUAAGGGAUAAAAAGGCCCCGGCAACCUACGUC
rnacentral:rRNA from 1 species